rnacentral:pre_miRNA from 1 species
CGGUGGCCCGGUUCAAGUAAUCCAGGAUAGGCUGUUCACAAUCUGCGUGGCCUAUUCUUGUUUACUUGCAUUGGGAGGCUG